rnacentral:lncRNA from 1 species
GGGGGAUCCGAGGGCUGUGCUGGGGGGCCCGGCCAGGCUCCUGAUGGCUGGGAUGAAGCCGGCUCGCCUCGGGUGGGGUUCAGAGCGGCUCGGAGAGGGGGGGGCGGCAGCAGGGACCGCUCCUCCUCCACGGCCCGGGAGGGAUCGACGACGGCAGCGAGGCGAAGGGAAAGCGAAAGGCGAAGGGAAAGCGAAAGCGCAGCGCAGGGCACUGCGGAGCGGGACCCACGGGCACCACCCGCAGCGCCCCGAGCAUCCCCGCCGGGGGGGCGCAGAUGAAAUUCAGCUUGGUCCUUUGGCAAGAGCCGUGCUCUCUGCCCGCUCUCCCUUUGGGAACAGAGCCCUCCAUCCCCGGGCUGUGCAGGUGCAGGUGAGCGGGGGGGCGACGCUCCUGCUCCUGCUGCACAGGGCACAUCAGGAGCGAGGAGGAAUGGAUGCUGCAGCUGGGAAGAAAAACCCCAUCCCACAGACAGCCAGGAGCAUAUUUGGGCAAGGCAGUCUGUAUUCGGUGAAUAUUCACAUGUGUCGCUCCGGCCAUGUGGCCGCAUCUGCUUUUUGGGGUUUGUGAGCCAAGGGUGUGUGCUGGGUGCAGGUACGUACCCAAAAGGCCGGGGCCAGGAGGUGGCCGCAUGCAGGAGCCAGGCAGCAGAGGGGUGAAGCUGCCCUGAGAGCCCCUCGGGCUGUGGUGGGACAGAGCCACGGGAGCUCGGCUGUGGGGCACAGCACCUCUAACGGUGCUGGUGGCAGCGGCAGGGAUGCUCUGCAGGAGUGCCUGGAGCAGCACCAGAGCUCACAGAGAGCUGAGGUUUGGGUAUACAAAGUGCUUGCUGAUGCCAUCUGAAAAUUAAGGGAAAAUUAGGAUGGGUGCUAAAAGGCAGCGUGAUUUUCACUGCUCUUGGCCUCAGCUCAAGAAACGACUUUGAAGCAAGCUCUGAGCUGCACAUCAAGUGUUCUGGUACGGAGCAGCUUAGAGGAGCCUCUGAGAUAAGUUUUGUCUUCAGAGCAGGAUUAGAAGUGCACUUGGGGAGUGCCAGGCUUAGGGCUGCCACCUGAAUAAUGCUGAGAAACAGAAUAGCGAGUGGGCAGCCUUCAUCUCGUACGGGAAGGAGACACGGUACGAUGGGGGUGUGUUUGUGUUACGGGGGUGUCUUGUGACUAUGUGAGUUUGGGGAUUUCGGUGUUCAGGGUCUCAGGCACGUCAGUUUUCAGGCAGAGCACUCGUGUGCCCCUGCACCAAAACAUUGCAUUACAAUUCUGGAGCUACAACUACAAAUUCUUCACUGGGAAAACUGCACAGGCUUUGUCAGAACUGAACACUGGAUGAAUUUGGCCCGCAAGCUCUUGCUCAGGUUGAUGGGUCCUGGAAAACAGCACCAGUCUGUGCUGCAGAGGGGCCGGCAGCUCCAUGCUGUGCUGUCACGGGAUUUGUGCGAUCACAGAGUUUUCAUCGGUGCUUUUAGGAGCACAGCUGGGGGCAGAGGCAAAGGGCACCAGGGGGACGUGGCACUAGGGAAUGGGGGGAUGAAAGGGAGCUGCCUUGGUCUCAGAGCCCAAAAUGUCCCGAUGCU